rnacentral:misc_RNA from 1 species
CGCGUUUAGGCUCUCUCUCUUCGUUCGUAUUCUGUCCUGUCCAGUGGAGCCUGAGGUCCAAGUAUCAAUGGAGGAGGAAGCUUUGUUGGAUCACACACUUGCCCGGCCAGAGAGUUUACGCUACUUGUUCAAUAAUUACAUAAAUAAAGUUCCAAAUUUCUCUUCUUAGUUCUUCCCUCUCGCUGUGCCUAGCUCCGACUCUAUUGUUAGCUUUAUUUUGAUCUCAUCAUAGGUACAAGGCUGACAUUGAAUAUUUGCCAAUCCACUGAAAAGAAAAGAAGGGGAUGAUGCUGACGCGUUGGUUACUAGUAUUUGUUGCCGGAUUUUCUGUUGGGGCACUCGCCGUUGUUGCCUUUGAGGUUUUGGGUGUCUAUGUCUUCUUUAAACGAUUUAAUCGCAAGAUUCGACAAGAAGAGCUUAAAUCAUCAUCUCCGUCUUCGCAUAAAGAUCUCGAUCCCAAACAGUCCCUUGAUUACUUUUAUAACAAGAAGGGGGUUGUCUGGGUCCUAGAACCAGAUAAAGUUCCCAGAAAUUGGGUGGUGGAUAAAGUGCCAAAAGAGCAAAAGAAGAAAAAGGAUCUCUUUGAGGUUAAUCCUGUUAAGAAAUAUGCAAAAAUCAUGAAUCGAUUUCUUGUUUUGACAGAUUCAGAUGGUUCCCAUGCAGCUUUUCCGUUAAAGGGUUGCAUUGUAGAAGCUGUUUCCGCUACAGACCUUUCUUCGAGAAAAUGGGCCAAAAGAUUUCCCAUAAAAGUGGAAAGCAAGACUUCAGUGAUAUAUAAUGCAAGUAAAACAGUUUACAUUUAUCUUGAGACAUCUUGGGAGAAAGAGUCUUGGUGUAAAGCCCUCCGUCUUGCUUCAUGUGAUGACGAAGGAAAACUUAACUGGUUCACCAACUUGAGUGAAGAAUUCCACUGUUAUUUGGCAUCCUUAAAUACAGGAUACCCUUCAUUUAUGAAACCCUCAGCAGGGUUCAAUGCUGAGCCACUAGAUAGGGUGACUAAGCUUGAUGGUUCUGCAUCAAAGGUUCGCUUGUUUUUUAAAAAGCUUGCCAGAAAGGCUUCAAAGACCAGUAUAGAGAAUAGGGGAACUUUCUCACUAGGCCAUGAAGAGAAAAAGAUUAAUGACAAGAGUCACUCAUUCCAAGAUCCAAGUUUGAGCACUAGCUUGGUAAAAACUGCUCUAACAUCAAAGGCAUUACUGAGUUCUGAGGAAAAUAUGGUAGUACUUCCGUCAUCCACCUCUUCUUGCUCAGCAAGCCAAAACCCUGUUUCUGUUGUUUCUGAAGUGGAUUCUGAUGACAAGUUCAAUAUUGAUGAAGGAACACUCUGUUGGAAUUUGCUUUUUUCUCGGAUUUUUUUUGAUGCCAAAAGCAAUGCCAAGAUAAAGAGUUCAGUGCAAGCACGGAUUCAGAGAACAUUGUCCAAUAUGAGGACACCCAGUUACAUAGGUGAAGUUGUAUGUACUGACCUAGGUCUUGGGAGUCUACCACCUUAUAUCCAUGGUAUAAGAGUACUUCCUACAGAUAUGAAUGAGAUAUGGGCAUGGGAAGUUGAUGUUGAGUAUUGUGGUGGGCUGGUGCUAGAUAUUGAAACAAGGCUGGAAGUUCAGAAGCUCCAAAAGGAUAUGGUGGAUACAAACUCAGAAUCGAGUUCUGUUGGGGAUGUCUCUUCAGACCUUCUGGAAGGUUUUGAAUAUUUUGGAAAGCAGCUGAAUAUUUCUGGAGGGACUGCUGAUGAACAAGAGCAGGAGAAUGAAGGAAAUAAUAAACUUGGUAAGAAUAAAUUUGCACGACUCCUUAUGUGUAUGCUUUCAAGUGCUUAAAUGCCGAGGCGUAGAAUAGAACACAGUCCCUAUAACAAUAUUUUAAGCCAUACUUUAGCUGUGUAUUGAUUACGGGGUUCUGUGCUGGUGAAGUUUGUUUGACCAAUGCGGUUGUGAAGUAACAUGCAAUAAAAUGCUAUUUAAAUUCUGUUUAAAAUUGUUGUUGCUGGGAACACAGAAAUUAGGCAGUACAAGUUAAAAAGACCAUGAAUGCUCAUUUAUGGCUCUGUUAAGCUUAGAACUAUUCUAGAAUAUUCUCGUUGCUACCAUGAAGAAACUCUAAAUGAGACAAUCUUUUCAAAGUCCUUGCUACUUUGCAUUGCUUUGUCCUAUAGUGAAUCAGCAUCUUGCCAUGACUCAGAAUUUUACAUGAUCCUCCUAUAGUAUUAAUAUAUUAGCAUAUGAAGAAACAGUACUUGUGAAGACCAGAUGAAUACCCAUUUAUCCUAGUAAAGAUAGGAUAUAUAUGACAUGCAUGGUUUUGCAAUAAUCCAAGUCCAGUGUGAUUUAUCUUGAAUUUGAAAUGAAAUGCAAAUAGAUAUCUGCAGUAAUGACAGAUGGGUAUCAAAGGUGGAUCAACAGAAUAGCAGAGAUAUAAUUAAUUUCUUUCAUCCACUUCUUGCAACAAUGAGAGGAAGCAAUGCAAUUAGCUAGUUACUUUAUUGUUGGUUUGGGCAGGAGCAAUUAUACUGCAUUAUCAACUGAUUUAACAGAAACUGAUGAUGGAUGAUACCAAUUGCAGCUGAUCUUUCCUUGUUGCAGAUGGGUUAAAAAAUUCUACAAGUUAUUCGUCAACAUCGACUAAUGUGUCUAGGUGGAAAUCCAUUCUUAAUUCUAUUGCAAAACAGGUUUCGCAGGUACCUCUCUCUUUGUCAAUAAGAGUUGCAUCCCUUCGUGGAACACUGCGUUUGCAUGUAAAGCCACCUCCUUCUGAUCAGUUAUGGUAUGGAUUCACAUCUAUGCCUGAUAUAGAUUUCGACUUGGAGUCAUCCGUUGGGGAUCACAAGAUUACUAGUACACAUAUUGCUUUGUUCUUGAUCAAUCGGUUUAAGGCUUCCAUCAGAGAAACUAUGGUGCUUCCAAACUGUGAAAGCUUAUGCAUUCCCUGGAUGUUGGCUGAAAAGAAUGACUGGGUACCGCGGACAGUUGCUCCUUUUAUGUGGCUUAAUAGAGAAGCCACUAGUGACCAUGCCACUGCAUGUGAGGCUCCUGUCUCCCAACCCGAUGAAGCAAAACCCAAGGAAGAUUCUCACAGGAAAGCAUCCAAUUAUGAUCCAGAAAGCAAGCAUUUAAAAACAAAGAACACUGAAUGCACUCAGCAAUCAAUUUCUGAUUCUUCUAAUACCUUAGAGAGCUCAAUGAGCUCCAACAAGUCAUCAAUACAAAGCAGCAAAACUUUGCAAGAACUAACAAGUCCUUUAUUGGCAACUUAUGAACCACAAGGCAUUUCCCAACAAAGUAGAGGUUGUAUGUCAGAGCGUCGAUCACUAUCUAGGUCUGUUACACAGGCAGAGAACCAGAAUCAUGCUGUUGAAGGAGAUGAAUCAAGAACGAAGAGGAUGGGAAGAAGAGCAAGGAUGCUGGAUCUGGGGAAGAAGAUGGGAGACAAGCUUGAAGAGAAGAGACGUCACAUUGAAGAAAAGGGCAAGAGCAUUGUUGAGAAGAUGCGUGGACCAUGAAACUGCCAAAAGGAGUGCUUGGACAUAAGCAGAACUGGUAGCUAAUGCCAUUGACAGAUACAGGAGUGGAGGCACUCAUCAAAUUCAAUAGAUGAUCAUGUAUAAUAUUAUAGGUGCUAAACUUCUUUUUGAUUUAGAAUUGGCAAAGCCCUAUUGAGCUCCUAUUCUUCAGUGAGAUACUAUUAAGUCUAUGGGUCUUCCAAUUUAAAGAUAUUGAAUACUUAUUUGACAAAAUAAAUAAAAAGAAUGAGAAAUUUUUUAAAAGCAG